GCAUGGACGAAUUCUGCUUUACUCUGCAGGUAGUAAACGCAGUCAGACACCAUGCUAUAUUACCGUGUUCACCCUGGGAAAUAUGCUGUCAACCGUGUCUCUCAUGUUGGCUCACUCGCCGGGGUGAAUACAUCC